CCCUGACAGUUACAGUGUGUAACUGACAUUUGCCACGACAGGAGAUUAUCAUG
rnacentral:ncRNA from 12 species